UACGUAGGUGGCAAGCGUUGUCCGGAAUUACUGGGCGUAAAGGGCGCGUAGGCGGUACUUCAAGUCAGGCGUGAAAGCCCCCGGGCUCAACCUGGGAACCGCGCUUGAGACUGGAGAACUAGAGUUCGGGAGAGGAUGGUGGAAUUCCCAGUGUAGAGGUGAAAUUCGUAGAUAUUGGGGAAGAACACCGAUGGCGAAGGCAGCCAUCUGGACCGACACUGACGCUGAGGCGCGAAAGCGUGGGAGCAAACAGG
rnacentral:rRNA from 1 species